rnacentral:rRNA from 1 species
GACGAACCGUGCGAACGUUAUUCGGAAUCACUGGGCGUAAAGGGUGCGUAGGCGGGUCUUUAAGUCAGGGGUGAAAUCCUGGAGCUCAACUCCAGAACUGCCUUUGAUACUGAGGAUCUUGAGUUCGGGAGAGGUGAGUGGAACUGCGAGUGUAGAGGUGAAAUUCGUAGAUAUUCGCAAGAACACCAGUGGCGAAGGCGGCUCACUGGCCCGAUACUGACGCUGAGGCACGAAAGCGUGGGGAGCAAACAGG